UUACUCAGAAACUUUUUUAAAAGAAAAAUUCCUUCUUAAAAAUAACAGAGAGAUUCAGAACAAAUGCUAUACUGGACCAGAUACUGGAAAAACAGAAGUUAGGUAAAACUAACCUGGACAUUCUUAGCCCUUUGCCUGCCAUUUCUCAGCUCCAAAUCUGCCCUUGCAUGCUCCUCUCUUUUAUGCUGUGUCUGGGACGCUGCAAUGUUCCUUUCACAGAUUUCUUUGCUAGCUGCCUUCCUGCAAAGCUCUGUCAAUAGCAGGCACUAGAGGAAGAUUGGAAGGUAACAGAAAAGAAGAAGGGACAUUCUUCUUUCAACUUGCUCUUUCAGCCAAUGUUACCCCCAAAACAACACUUUACUUUACAAAUAGUAGUUGGUUCCAGCUUCCAGCUACUUUGGGUGCUCCUUGAGAACCAACCUCAUUGAGCCCUCUCAGAAAUAUCAAUAGCAGCUGAGUGAUGCUUUCUCUUCAUAGACCCUCCUCCAAGUUUCUCGGUACUGGUGACUCCCAACCUCUUCCCUUUAGUUAUUCCAGCACUACAAGAAUUAGUUGCUCUCUGUAGCCCUCUAGGCUACCUCAGCAUUGCUUUCUGCUCUUUCAGCUUUCUGACACCUGAAACAAAUCCUCUAUAUUAAAUCCCUGAUAAGGUUUGGAUCUGUGUCCUUACCCAAAUCUCAUCUCAAAACCUCGAAUUGUAAACCCCACAUGUUGAGGAAGGGCCCUGUAAUCCCCACGUGUUGAGGGAGAGAAGUGAUUGGAUUAUGCUGUUCUAGCGAUAGUGAGUGAGUCUCACAAGAUCUGAUGGUUUUCAAAAGUGGCAGUUUUUGUCCUACACUCUCACUUCUCUCUCCUGCCGCCUUGUGAAGAAGGUCCUUGCCUCCCCUUCGCCUUCCAUCGUGGUUGUAAGUUUCCUGAGGCCUCCCCAGCACUGUGGAACUGUGAGUCAAUUAAACCUCUUUCCUUUAUAAAUUACCCAGUCUCAGGCAUUUAUUUAUAGCAGUGUGAGAACAGGAUAAUACAAUCCUUCUGGUGAUUUUUAUUUUUCUAAUUGGACCCUGACUGGUGACAUAGGGGAAGGGAAAGGGCAGGAAACUAUAUAUAUCUAUAUAUAUAGAUAUAUGGAGUAUAUAUAGAUAUAUGGAGUGUAUAGAUAUAUGGAGUAUAUAGAUAUAUGGAUUAUAGAUAUAUGACGAUUAUAUAUAUAUAUAUAUGUCUUCUGUAUACCAAGUAUACAAAUAAUAAAUAUCAAUAAUUUUAUAUGUUACUAGUAAUAGCUGUGAUUUAUUGAGACCUAGUCUAUGACUUUCCCUGGCUACUUUCUUCUCAUGUUGUAAGUUUCUGCUUGAAUUUAAUCUCAGAGAGGUUUUCCCUGAUCGCCUUAUCAAAAGCAACUGCUAUUCCCUGUUAUUCUCUGCUUCAGCUCAUAAACCUUGUCCUUUAUAGUACACCAAAAAAAGCACAAUCAUUUGAUUUUUCUGGUCUGUCUUCCCCACUAGAAUGUGAGCUCCAUGAGAGGGAGGCCCUUGCUGGUCUUGUUCACGGCUGUCUCCCUAAAGCCUAGCAUAGUGCUUGGCUCAUAGUAGAUGCCAGUGCCAUGCUUUUGGACUUUCCAGUCUCCAGAACCGU
rnacentral:lncRNA from 1 species